AUACUUACCUGGCAGGGGAGACACCAUGAUCAAGAAGGCGGUUCACCCAGGGCAAGGCUUGUCCAUUGCACUCCGGCCAUGCUGAUCCCUGCGAAUUCCCCAAAUGCGGGAAUCUCGACUGCAUAAUUUAUGGUAGUGGGGGACUGCGUUCACGCUCUCCCCUG
ensembl:snRNA U1 U1 spliceosomal RNA